GCAGUAAACGGCAGCGCGGGGUAACCUGGCGGCGAGUGGCGAACGGGUGAGUAAUACAUCGGAACGUGCCCUGUGAUGGGGGAUAACUACGCGAAAGCGUAGCUAAUACCGCAUACGACCUACGGGUGAAAGUGGGGGAUCGCAAGACCUCACGUCAUAGGAGCGGCCGAUGGCGGAUUAGCUAGUUGGUGAGGUAAAGGCUUACCAAGGCAACGAUCCGUAGCUGGUCUGAGAGGACGACCAGCCACACUGGGACUGAGACACGGCCCAGACUCCUACGGGAGGCAGCAGUGGGGAAUCUUGGACAAUGGGGGAAACCCUGAUCCAGCAAUGCCGCGUGUGGGAUGAAGGCCUUCGGGUUGUAAACCACUUUUGGCGGGGGCGAAAUAUCGAGUGCUAAUACCAUUCGGUGAUGACGGUACCCGCAGAAUAAGCACCGGCUAACUACGUGCCAGCAGCCCGGGGUA
rnacentral:rRNA from 1 species